GUGCUAAUCGUAAUCAUCAUAUUCACCACUGCUGAGCAGAACAGUCAGGGUGCUGCCCUCAGGGAGUUACCAUGUAGUAAAGGAGACAGAUGGAAUCACACAGAGGAAUGCACGUCUGAUUGUAGCCUGACUGGAGUGCCAUGAAGGAGACCAAGAGGGCAGGGUGAUGGAGAAAGCACAGGAUGAAGUUCUCGUCUUCCUUCCAACAGAAUCUCAGUUGCACUCAGUUGUUGCCCCCCUCGAACCUCCCUUGAGCCUCAGGAGAAACCACCCUGAUUCAGAGGUCCAGAGAAGACCUGACUAGCCCAAGGGUGUCACCGUGUCUGGAUGCGAUGCCUGGAAGUGCUACAGCCACUCGCGCCCAGCCUGAAGAUGAAACCAACCCCAAACACAGCCAAGCAGAGAGAUGGAAAGAACUAGGACCCUAAUUACACCACUGAGCAGCUAUAGCAACCAGUUCCAGAGCCCUCUGACUUCCCGCCAAAGUGAGAUGAUAAGAUACUGUUUAAUUUCUCUCUUUUAUAGCCAAACACACCAAAAUUGACACAGAGAUGUGAGCCAUACCUACUACUGUUACUGCUCCAUCCCUAGCUCCAACCACAGUGCAUGGUACAUGGUAGAGAGCCAACAAACACUUGAAGAAUGAAUGGUGCAUAUUGAGUGGGAUUUUCCAGAGGCAGACCUGGAGACAAGGCUUCAAGUGCGUGUGUUGUAUUAAGGAAAUGCUCCCAGGGGACAAUAGCAGAGUGGCAGAAAUGGGACAAGGGGGCCAGGGAGCCAAGAACAGAGAAUCAAUCGUCUAAACAGAGCCCCCUGUUUUUUGUUUCACCUGGGAGUAGCUUCUACCUGAUCCCCAGGGGAACUCUGGGAUGUCAGUGACGGCUCAGCAUUGCCCCUGAGGCAAGGGAGCUGGGCUUUCCUAAUCCCCCACUCCUCAGUCUCUGGCUAAGCGCUGUCCCCAGGGGACUUAAUCACCCAAACACUUCCCCAAGAGUGGCAUCUGCUGACCACUGGAGGCACUGGUACAGUGAAGCGACAGAAGGGAUCAGAGAGGGUCCAGGUGGAGCACAGCAAUGUGGCUGAAUAAUAACUAUAUUAAUUCAUAUAGUUAAUUCUCAAGCAA
rnacentral:lncRNA from 1 species